CGGUAAUACGUAGGGUGCAGGUGUUAAUCGGAAUUACUGGGCGUAAAGCGUGCGCAGGCGGUUUGCUAAGACAGGUGUGAAAUCCCCGGGCUUAACCUGGGAAUUGCGCUUGUAACUGGCAAGCUAGAGUGUGGCAGAGGGGGGUGGAAUUCCACGUGUAGCAGUGAAAUGCGUAGAUAUGUGGAGGAACACCGAUGGCGAAGGCAGCCCCCUGGGUUAACACUGACGCUCAGGCACGAAAGCGUGGGGAGCAAACAGGAUUAGAUACCUUGGUAGUCCACGCCCUAAACUAUGUCAACUAGUUGUCGGGGAAGAAAUUCCUUGGUAACGAAGCUAACGCGUGAAGUUGACCGCCUGGGGAGUACGGCCGCAAGGUUAAA
rnacentral:rRNA from 1 species